AUUGAACGCUGGCGGCAUGCCUUACACAUGCAAGUCGAACGGUAACAGGUCUUCGGAUGCUGACGAGUGGCGCACGGGUGCGUAAUACAUCGGAACGUGCCCGAUCGUGGGGGAUAACGAGGCGAAAGCUUUGCUAAUACCGCAUACGAUCUACGGAUGACAGCGGGGGAUCUUCGGACCUCGCGCGGCCGGAGCGGCCGAUGGCAGAUUAGGUAGUUGGUGGGGUAAAAGCUUACCAAGCCGACGAUCUGUAGCUGGUCUGAGAGGAUGAUCAGCCACACUGGGACUGAGACACGGCCCAGACUCCUACGGGAGGCAGCAGUGGGGAAUUUUGGACAAUGGGCGAAAGCCUGAUCCAGCCAUGCCGCGUGCAGGAUGAAGGCCUUCGGGUUGUAAACUGCUUUUGUACGGAAAGAAAAGCCUCUUUCUAAUAAAGAGGGGUCAUGACGGUACCGUAAGAAUAAGCACCGGCUAACUACGUG
rnacentral:rRNA from 1 species